UAAUACGUAGGGGGCGAGCGUUGUCCGGAUUUAUUGGGCGUAAAAGGCUUGUAGGUGGCCACGCCAAGUCGGAUGUGAAAUCUCCCGGCUCAACUGGGAGGGGUCAUUCGAUACUGGCGGGCUCGAGGCCGGUAGGGGGAAGUGGAAUUCCCGGUGUAGUGGUGGAAUGCGUAGAUAUCGGGAGGAACACCAGUGGCGAAGGCGGCUUCCUGGACCGGUUCUGACACUGAGGAGCGAAAGCGUGGGGAGCGAUCCG
rnacentral:rRNA from 1 species